UUAAUUGAAGCCAAAAAGGCAAUUUAUUGUUAAUAAAUUUAUUGAAUGAAAAAUUCAUUCCAAUUAAA
rnacentral:tRNA from 1 species